ensembl:snRNA U2 U2 spliceosomal RNA
AUCGCUUCUCGGCCUUUUGGCUAAGAUCAAGUGUAGUCUCUGUUCUUAUCAGUUUAAUAUCUGAGGACAAUAUAUUAAAUGGAUUUUUGGUACUAGGAGUUGGAAUAGGAGCUUGCUCCAUCCACUCCACGCAUUGACCUGGUAUUGCAGUAUCUCCAGGAACGGUGCACCCCUU